UACGUAGGGGGCUAGCGUUGUCCGGAAUCAUUGGGCGUAAAGAGCGUGUAGGCGGCCCGGUAAGUCCGCUGUGAAAGUCGGGGGCUCAACCCUCGAAUGCCGGUGGAUACUGUCGGGCUAGAGUGCGGAAGAGGCGAGUGGAAUUCCUGGUGUAGCGGUGAAAUGCGGCAGAUAUCAGGAGGAACACCGAUUGCGAAGGCAGCUCGCUGGGACGUUACUGACGCUGGAGACGCGAAAGCGUGGGGAGCAAACAGG
rnacentral:rRNA from 1 species